AUAUGGUCAAGUUACUAAGAGUGCAUGGGGGAUGUCUUGGUGUCGAGAGGCGAUGAAGGACGCGGCAGACUGCGAAAAGUUCGGGGCAGAAGUCUAGCAUUCGUUAAUCCCGAAGUGUCCGAAUGGGGAAACCCGUCGCCGGCGGGCAACCGACCGGCGUCAUCCAUGGCUGAAUGCAUAGGCCAUGAGAAGCCAACGCAGGGAACUGAAACAUCUAAGUACCUGCAGGAAAGGAAAUCAACCGAGACUCCGUCAGUAGCGGCGAGCGAAAGCGGAAUAGCCCAAACCGAUCUUCGGAUCGGGGUUGCGGGCGUCAAUCAGGAGUUACAAAGGCAGCACCAGAUGAACGGUCUGGAAAGUCCGACCACAGAAGGUGAAAGUCCUGUAGUCAAAAGUGACUGCCCUCCGUUACGAUUGGCGUACCAGAGUAGCACGGAGCUCGUGGAACUCCGUGUGAAGCUGGGGGGCCCACCCUCCAAGGCUAAGUACUCCUCGACAACCGAUAGUGAAAAGUAGCGCGAGCGAACGAUGAAAAGAACCCUUACUAAGGGAGUUAAAAGUACCUGAAACCAUGCACUUACACAGCUGUAGGAGCCCUAUGUCCCGCACUUACUUUGCACCGGGUUGCGUGAUGCGCAUUGCCUGAAGGCCGUUUUUUCGGUCGGAUUGGCGGUGUGUGCGGCCGGGUUCAAAGUAAGUGCGGGAAACGGGUGACUGCGUGCCUUUUGCAUAAUGAGCCGGCGAGUUACCGUCUGUGGCAAGGUUAAGCAUUUCCGAUGCGAAGCCGUAGCGAAAGCGAGUCUGAAUAGGGCGAUUCAGUCGCAGGUGGUAGACGCGAAACCAAGUGAUCUACCCAUGGCCAGGUGGAAGGGGAUGUAAAAAUCCCUGGACGACCGAACCCACUAACGUUGAAAAGUUAGGGGAUGAGCUGUGGGGAGGAGUAAAAGUCUAAUCAAAC
rnacentral:rRNA from 1 species